GCAACUGGCAAAAAAGUAGAUCCUGCUGAAUACCCAUAUGUUUAAAAUGUCAACCCAGGACAAGUGAGAACAGGUGCUGGAACCCAGCCUGGACGCUCAGAGUUAUUGAAUACUUCUCCUUGUUGUAACAUCAAGACUUUUCUGUCUGGCCCAGUGCCUUUCUGUUUAACUGUCUCUGUUUCUGGUCAUGGACACCUCUUCUUACGAUGGAAAAAAGUAAUCAGUUGGUCUCAUCCUCUCUUUCUCACCAGAGGAAAAUCAGCAAAUCAAGACGCUUGAGAGAUUGUCUGCUCCAUCUGGCCUGCUGAUAUUCGCCAUGCCCUCGCGGGGCCUUCCCCUGCCCCAACACCUCUCCACAUGGAGGGAUGUGCAUUCGAUAUCAACCACGAGCACGACAGGGCAGGAGGUGUUUUUUUCUCUCUAGAAGAGUGACCAAUAUGUGCAACACAUUGUCAAAAAGCGAAACACAGCAGAAAUAUUAUAGAAAUGAUACUCUGUUUCUCUUGGAUGCUUCACACAGAAAAUCUUGAUGCAAUUUAAGGUAAUGUAAUACAAUUCAGAGGAAAAUAAUUAGUAUUUCCUGUAUUUAUGGCUGCUUUCAUAAUUCUGUUUAAAUCUGGCUAUUUUUGGCAAAAUUACAUGAC